UACAGAGGGUGCAAGCGUUAAUCGGAAUUACUGGGCGUAAAGAGUGCGUAGGUGGUUAUGUAAGUUAGAUGUGAAAUCCCUGGGCUCAACCUAGGAACUGCGUUUAAAACUGCAUAGCUAGAGUAUUGUAGAGGAUAGUGGAAUUUCCAGUGUAGCGGUGAAAUGCGUAGAUAUUGGAAGGAACACCAGUGGCGAAGGCGACUAUCUGGGCAAAUACUGACACUGAGGCACGAAAGCAUGGGGAGCAAACAG
rnacentral:rRNA from 1 species